rnacentral:rRNA from 1 species
GUGGGGAAUAUUGCACAAUGGGCGAAAGCCUGAUGCAGCAACGCCGCGUGAGGGACGACGGCCUUCGGGUUGUAAACCUCUUUUAUUAGGGAAGAAGCGAAAGUGACGGUACCUGCAGAAAAAGCACCGGCUAACUACGUGCCAGCAGCCGCGGUAAUACGUAGGGUGCAAGCGUUAUCCGGAAUUAUUGGGCGUAAAGAGCUCGUAGGCGGUCUGUCGCGUCUGCUGUGAAAACUGGAGGCUCAACCUCCAGCCUGCAGUGGGUACGGGCAGACUAGAGUGCGGUAGGGGAGAUUGGAAUUCCUGGUGUAGCGGUGGAAUGCGCAGAUAUCAGGAGGAACACCGAUGGCGAAGGCAGAUCUCUGGGCCGUAACUGACGCUGAGGAGCGAAAGCGUGGGGAGCGAACAGGAUUAGAUACCCCAGUAGUCC